CCUGCCUCAGCCUCCUGAGUAGCUAGCAUUACAGGCGAGCACCACCGUGCACAGCUAAUUUUUGUAGUUUUCGUAGAGAUGGGGUUUCACCACGUUGGCCAGGCUGGUCUUGAACUCCCGACCUCAGCUGAUCCACCCACCUUGGCCUCCCAAAGUGCUAGGAUUACAGGCAUAAGCCACCAUGCCCGGCCUGUUUUCCUCAUGUAACCCCAGGAAUUAAAAGUCCUCAAAGGCCAAUGGUCCAAAUAGGAGAUUGGCAAAUGAAGGAUCUUGUGGGGGCUGGGUUUUCUUCUGCCUGUCCGUGGAGUUAUAUACGUGUUGUGUGUGACGUCUAUAGAAAUAGCUCUAAUUAAUUGGCCUAAAGGAAGAUAAGCACUUGGAUCAAAUAUUUAUUAAAGGGAAGAUAGGCUGGGUGUGGUGGCUCACGCCUGUAAUCCCAGCACUUUGGGAAGCCAAGGCGGGCGGAUCACCUGAAGUCAGGAGUUCGAGACCAGCCUGACCAACAUGGACAUACCCCAUCUCUACUAAAAAUACAAAAUUAGCCAGGCUUGGUGGCCCAUGCCUGUAAUCCCAGCUACUUGGGAAGCUGAGGCAGGAGACUCAGUUGAACCUGGGAGGUGGAGGUUGCGGUGAGCUGAGAUUGUGCCAUUGCACUCAAGCCUGGAUAACAAGAGCGAAACUCCAUCUCAAAAAAAAUAAAAGGAAAGAUAAAACCUGUGAUACUUUUCAGUUCACCUGACUUUAAUCUUUGAGAAAUGAAAACAGCCUUAAAGAUUAUUGGUAAAAAGCCAAUGUCAUCAAAAUAUAAAUAAGUGGACUGGGCCGAGUGCAGUGGCUCACGCCUGUAAUCCCAGCACUUUGGGAGGCUGAGGUGAGCGGAUUGCCUGAGCUCAGGAGUUCAAGACCAGCCUGGGCAUCAGGGUGAAACCCCAUCUCUACUAAAAUACAAAAAAUUAGCUGGGCAUGGUGGCGUGCUCCUGUAGUCCCAGCUACUUAGGAGGCUGAGGCAGGAGAAUUGCUUGAAUCCAGGAGGCAGAGGUUGCAGUGAGUCGAGAUCGUGCCACUGCACUGCAUCCUGGGCAACAAAGCAAAACUUUGUCUUAAAAAAAAAAAAAAUAGUUGGACUAAAUUAUGCAGGUCAGAUACCAGGUUGGCUAAAUGUUUUAUGGUUAUAAACUGCUUUUUGGUCUCUACUAAAAAUACAAAAAUUAGCUUGGCAUUGUGGCAGGCACCUGUAGUCCCAGCUACUCGGGACUCUGAGACACAAGAAUUGCUUGAACCGUGAGACAGAGGUUGCAGUGAGCUGGAAUCAUGCCACUGCACUCUAGCCUGGGUGAUAGAGUGAGACUCCAUCUCCAUCUCAAAAAAAAAAAAAUUAAUCUUGCAAAGAAAUUAUCUGUGUGAACAUAUUGACUAAAUUCAAAAGUGUAUUGUAUGAUUUUUCUGUAAAUUGAACAUUGAAAUAAAAGCACAAUAAGGUACUCUUAAGGCACUAAUCUGCUCUUUGGCAAAAUUUGUAAAGGCUUAUAAAAGGUUUUUUUUUUUUCUUUUUAUGUUUCUGAGUCAUUAUUUUGGCAAAAUAAAUAAUUUAUUGUAAUCUGGAAUUCUAUUUUAAGUGUUUCAAACCUCUAACAUAUUUAACAGGCUUUCCAAAAUAAAACUUCAGUUUCAAAAUUGUCUUUCCUGACACCUGGCUUUUCGAAUACUUCAGAAGGGCCCCUAGAGUGUCCAGAAAAGAGAGCUAAACAGGAUUAUUUGAAACAUUUAGGUACUUGAUACUGUGUUCAAUCUUCUUUAGGUUACAUUUUGGUGAAUAAUACAUGUUCCAAAAUUGUAUGGAAUUUCUAAAAUUCUAAUGUCUGAGUAUAUGCUAUCAAUCAUAAUUAAGGUUGUUAAGUUUUUGUAAACCACGGAGAUAAUCAAACUUCUUUGUCAAUUGUGCUUCUAACUGUAACUACACU
rnacentral:lncRNA from 1 species